GAUGAACGCUGGCGGCGUGCCUAAUACAUGCAAGUCGAGCGAACAGACGAGGAGCUUGCUCCUCUGACGUUAGCGGCGGACGGGUGAGAAACACGUGGAUACCCUACCUAUCAGACUGGUAUCACUUCGGGACACCGGAGCUUAUACCGGAUAAUAUCUUGCACCGCGUGGUUGAAUGGUGAAAGUCGGUUUUGCUGGCUCUUAUAGAUGGAUCCGCGCCUCAUUAGCGAGUUGGUAAGGUAACGGCUUACCAAGGCGACGAUGCGUAGCCGACCUGAGUGGGUGAUCGGCCACACUGGAACGGAGACACGGUCCAGACGCCUACGGGAGGCAGCAGUAGGGAACCGUCGGCAAUGGUCGAAAGCUUGACGGAGCAACGCCGAGUGAGUGAUGAAGGUCUUCGGAUCGUAAAACCCUGUUAUUAGGGAAGAACAAAUGUGUAAGGAACUAUGCACGGAUUGACGGUACCGAAUCAGAAAGCCACGGCUAACUACGUG
rnacentral:rRNA from 1 species